GACGAACGCUGGCGGCGUGCUUAACACAUGCAAGUCGAACGAAGUGGCGAACGGGUGAGUAACGCGUAAUUAACCUGCCCUUCAGAGGGGGACAACAGUUGGAAACGACUGCUAAUACCGCAUACUGAAGGAGGGGUUUGCGUCUGAUUAGCUAGUUGGAGGGGUAACCGCCCACCAAGGCGAUGAUCAGUAGCCGGGCUGAGAAGAGGAACCGGCACACUGGGACUGGGACACGGCCCAGACUCCUACGGGAGGCAGCAGGUGGGAAUCUUCCGAAAUGGACGAAAGUCCGGCGGAGCCACGCCGCGGGAGUGAUGGCGGCCUUCGGGUUGUAAAGCUCUGUUAAUCGGGACGCGGUACCGGAAUAGAAAGCAACGGCUAACUACGUGCCAGCAGCCGCGGUAAUAC
rnacentral:rRNA from 1 species